AACGGUUCAUACACUCCACCAGGGGCCAUCCUUCUUACCACACAAAUUCAGGGACAAUAGUAAGUUUUACUCCAGCGGAGAAGUCCCCACAGAAUAUUCUGGUUUCUCUUCAGCCAUGUGCCCACAGGUUCAGUGAUGCCAUUGGGAGGAGAGAUCCACGUGGAGCUUUUCACAGCGUUUCACUUGCUCACCUCGGAGACGAAAGCCAACGCACAGCUUGAGCAGAACUGGUGCAAGAGUUCACAAGUACACGUAUGCCUCACGCAACACCCUGCCUCGUGAUCCAAGUUUCCAGUCA
rnacentral:lncRNA from 1 species